rnacentral:rRNA from 1 species
GACGAACGCUGGCGGCGUGCUUAACACAUGCAAGUCGUACGGUAAGGCCCUUUCGGGGGUACACGAGUGGCGAACGGGUGAGUAACACGUGAGUAACCUGCCCACAACUUUGGGAUAACGCUAGGAAACUGGUGCUAAUACUGGAUAUGUGCUCCUGCUGCAUGGUGGGGGUUGGAAAGCUCCGGCGGUUGUGGAUGGACUCGCGGCCUAUCAGCUUGUUGGUGGGGUAGUGGCCUACCAAGGCGGCGACGGGUAGCCGGCCUGAGAGGGUGACCGGCCACAUUGGGACUGAGAUACGGCCCAGACUCCUACGGGAGGCAGCAGUGGGGAAUAUUGCACAAUGGGCGCAAGCCUGAUGCAGCAACGCCGCGUGCGGGAUGACGGACUUCGGGUUGUAAACCGCAUUCAGCAGGGACGAAGCUUUUUGUGACGGUACCUGCAGAAGAAGCACCGGCUAACUACGUG